rnacentral:rRNA from 1 species
AACGAACGCUGGCGGCAUGCCUAACACAUGCAAGUCGAGCGAAUGGAUUAAGAGCUUGCUCUUAUGAAGUUAGCGGCGGACGGGUGAGUAACACGUGGGUAACCUGCCCAUAAGACUGGGAUAACUCCGGGAAACCGGGGCUAAUACCGGAUAACAUUUUGAACCGCAUGGUUCGAAAUUGAAAGGCGGCUUCGGCUGUCACUUAUGGAUGGACCCGCGUCGCAUUAGCUAGUUGGUGAGGUAACGGCGCACCAAGGCAACGAUGCGUAGCCGACCGGAGAGGGUGAUGGGCCACACUGGGACAGAAACACGGCCCAGACUCCUAGGGGAGGCAGCAGUAGGGAAUCUUCCGCAAUGGACGAAAGUCUGACGGAGCAACGACGCGUGAGUGAUGAAGGCUUUCGGGUCGUAAAACUCUGUUGUUAGGGAAGAACAAGUGCUAGUUGAACAAGCUGGCACCUUGACGGUACCUAACCAGAAAGCCACGGCUAACUACGUGCCAGCCGCCGCCGUAA